CCGCCUCCCGUCUCCUCCCCGCCCCCCGGAGCCGACAAGUGGUGGCGGCGGCGGGCCCAGGUCUGGGGUCCCUCAGACAGGAGGGCGGGUGGAGGAGGAAGCGG
rnacentral:miRNA from 1 species